UUGAUCCAGGAGAGAUUGACGGGCAGGAGUCUUGGGACUGGAACAAGGCGUAGGGGGCUGCGGUACAUGGACCGCAGCAUGCCGGGCCAGGAGGGAUUGCACAUGCUAGCUGCAAUUGCUGAGGAUAAGGAGAUUAGAGCAUUGAUCCAUCACUGUAGGAUGGGACAUGUGUCUUUUGACAAAAUGUAUCAAGUAUUUCCUGAUGUAAUGAGUGGUGUGGACAAGAGCAAGCUGAAA
rnacentral:rRNA from 1 species